rnacentral:tRNA from 2 species
GGGGAUGUAGCCCAGUUGGUCAGAGCGCUUCGUUCACAUCGAAGAGGUCGUGGGUUCGAGCCCCUCCAUCCCCACCA